CGUUCGUCGUUCGUAGUGGUGCUUCAUCAUCCACCAUUUUGUAACGACUGAGAACUUAGUUGUUCCAGCUCAUAACCCUUGUUCACAAUCAAUCGGUCAUACUUAUUGGUUUUCAAAAAGAAACUCUCUCGAACAAUCGUCUUUAUUACGGAAAUCAGUUCGUGGAAGGAUACGAGAAGACAACUAAAGAUUUCACUCAGCUUGCUUUCAACAACCGUUGCUGAAAAUCAACCAAGUGAUCGUUCCUUGUUUUCUUGUUUGUGAUGAGAAUCUUUGAAUCGCAGAUCAAUUCAAAGAUACGAGGAGACAAAUACAGAGUUCACUCAGUUUGCUUUGUGCCACGGUAGCUGUAAACCAAGUGAUCGUCCGUUUGUUUUUACGGAGGAUCUUUGAGAGCAAUAGAGAAAUGGAUAAGCAAGACGGAAAUGGAGUCUACAUCAGUCACGGAAGAGAAUUCCCGUCACUGGGUCAUUAUCGAAAGGCCAUUGAGUAUCAUGAAAAACAAUUGAAAAUUGCAUCAGAAAUCGGUGAUCGGGCCGGGGAAGGAAGAGCC